GUGUAGUUAACGUAUGAUUCAGUCACUCUAUCGUGAGUCCCGACUAGAUGGUGGUCAUGGAUAAAUCAUCAAAUCUCAUCAUCAGUCAUAUGAUAGAUUCAAUUGGCUCGAAUCCAGUUGUGACUUCUAUAGAAAUAUUUUUUCAUUAAUCACACUACUGUGGCCACAGAUUCUCGGACUUAGCUUCUCAAAUCUCAUAGGACUACUCCUUUCUACCAAGGUUGAUAGAUCUCAUCUUGAUGUGUAUCCUACCCCUACAGUGGAUCAACUGUCACCAAUAUCUACUACAAGGGCUCAUUGAGAUCCAUGUUUAUGUGUCAAUCAAACUCCAACAGCCUCACUGCAGAUAGUAGUACAUCUCAGAUCAAAGGACCAAUCACACAACUACAGCAUCGAGAUGAUCAUUGAUGAUUGAGUAAAAAUCUAAGUGAUCUCUUGUAUGGUCACGCUCAGUACUAGUUGUUCUCUAACAACUACCUGCACUCAUCGCCCUGUAGAUCAAAGACUCAUCUAUCUCAAAGGAAGCAAUCUGUGCAUCAGUCUAUCCGGAUCGAUCAUCAUCUUCAUAAUGAUCCUAUGACCGAAAGUAUUUAGGAAUUAAAUACAUAUCUUUAAUUCUUAACACAUUGAGAAUAUGUAUCAAAACUAAUUUCAUGGACGAUUCAAGGACACAUCACACUUGAAUUAAAAAUAAAUUUAUCCUUUUAUCGAUCAAAUCAAUGUAUUAAGUACAAAAUUAUAUCCUAGAGUUAUUAUAAUGUGUCAGCUAUAUUGGCUUCUAGGACAUACAUCUAACAAUUGACCCUCCGAAUUAGUAGGAGUUAUAUAUCAAUGUAUUUCAAUUUAGCAAAAUCUGAAUCUGGAUAAUCUAUGUGAUGGAUUUGAAAGAUUGAAAUACAAUGUGGAUGACUUAUCUAAGAUUGACAGUUAAAUCUUAGAUCGUCUUUGAGCAUUAGAGUCAAAAUGAUGAAUUGUACGGUAACCAUAUACCAGUAGGUUCUUGAAUGUUGCUUCGCCAUCAUUCGACCUAUCCAGACGUCAGAUCCCAUUGCUAGAUAGUUAUAUCGAUUGGUUUAAAAAUUUAUUUCUAUUCUACUGAUUUAGGUUCGAACCUAUGGGGUCACACUCAAAAAAAAAUUCUGAUUGAUCAUGUGGCUGAUCAACAAUUGAGAAUCGUUCAAGGG
rnacentral:lncRNA from 1 species